rnacentral:lncRNA from 1 species
AUGGAGAGCUGGUGGGGACUUCCCUGUCUUGCGUUCCUGUGUUUUCUAAUGCACGCCCGAGGUCAAAGAGACUUAGCAGACGCCCUUGUUGACCCUGAACCCACCAAGAAGCCAAACUCAGAUAUCUACCCAAAGCUAAAACCACCUUGCUACCCACAGUGUGAGAAUCUCUACAGUGGUGGAAAUAUCUACCCAAAGCUGAAGCCAUGCCCUCAACCCCAGCAAUUCUGGCAACAGUGGAGGAGGUGGUGGCGGUGGCUACUCCAGUUAUAACAAGUUCGGCAACACGCACGGUGGAGAUCACCAUUCAACCUAUGGCAAUCCAGAAGGCAAUAUGGUAGCAAAAAUUGUGUCUUCCAUCAUAUCCAUGGUGGUGGUGACACUGAUGGGAGCAGCAGCCAGUUAUUCCAAACUAAACAAUAGGAGGAAUUUGUUUCAGGACCCAU